AUUGAACGCUGGCGGAAUGCUUUACACAUGCAAGUCGAACGGCAGCACGGACUUCGGUCUGGUGGCGAGUGGCGAACGGGUGAGUAAUAUAUCGGAACGUGCCCAGUCGUGGGGGAUAACGUAGUGAAAAUUACGCUAAUACCGCAUACGAUCUAUGGAUGAAAGCGGGGGAUCGCAAGACCUCGCGCGAUUGGAGCGGCCGAUAUCAGAUUAGGUAGUUGGUGAGGUAAAGGCUCACCAAGCCAACGAUCUGUAGCUGGUCUGAGAGGACGACCAGCCACACUGGAACUGAGACACGGUCCAGACUCCUACGGGAGGCAGCAGUGGGGAAUUUUGGACAAUGGACGCAAGUCUGAUCCAGCCAUUCCGCGUGCAGGACGAAGGCCUUCGGGUUGUAAACUGCUUUUGUACAGAACGAAAAGGUUUCUAUUGAUACUAGGGGCUCAUGACGGUACUGUAAGAAUAAGCACCGGCUAACUACGUGCCAGCCGCCGCAGUAACAC
rnacentral:rRNA from 1 species